GGGAAAGAUUUAUCGCUAUAGGGAUGGGCCCGCGUAGGAUUAGCUAGUUGGUGAGGUAAUGGCUCACCAAGGGCGACGAUCCUAUAGCUGGUUUGAGAGAACGACCAGCCACACUGGGACUGAGACACGGUCCAGACUCCUACGGGAGGCAGCAGUGGCGAAUAUUGGACAAUGGGCGCAAGCCUGAUCCAGCCAUGCCGAGUGAGU
rnacentral:rRNA from 1 species